AGUGUUGGUAGGCGGGAAAGUUGAUUUUUGAGUUCUUUGAAUGCUACCUCACAUUCGCCCGUCCAUACUACUCUGGGGCCCGGUUUCUUUAAGAGCUAGAAAAAUGGGCGUAGUCGGUCCGCCAUCCUUGACAAGAACCUGCUGAGGGCCGUCACCUUUUCAUAAGCUUUUGGAUCUCCUUUAUGGUUCGUGGGGGGGGGUCAUCACUACAAAAAACCAGCGCAGUUCUGGCGGCAAAUUCCGGCGGCCAGGCCGCCGGUAUAAUGGUUCCAGGCGGCC
rnacentral:lncRNA from 1 species